rnacentral:rRNA from 1 species
GACGAACGCUGGCGGCAUGCCUAACACAUGCAAGUCGAGCGAGCAGAUCCCUUCGGGGUGAAGCUAGCGGCGGACGGGUGAGUAACACGUGGGCAACCUGCCUCAUAGAGGGGAAUAGCCUCCGAAAGGAAGAUUAAUACCGCAUAAGAUUGUAGCUUUGCAUGAAGCAGCAAUUAAAGGAGUAAUCCGCUAUGAGAUGGGCCCGCGGCGCACUAGCUAGUUGGUGAGGUAACGGCUCACCAAGGCGACGAUGCGUAGCCGACCUGAGAAGGUGAUCGGCCACAUUGGGACUGAGACACGGCCCAGACUCCUACGGGAGGCAGCAGUGGGGAAUAUUGCACAAUGGGGGAAACCCUGAUGCAGCAAUGCCGCGUGAGUGAUGACGGCCUUCGGGUUGUAAAGCUCUGUCUUCGGGGACGAUAAUGACGGUACCCGAGGAGGAAGCCACGGCUAACUACGUGCCAGCCGCCGCAGUAA